GCCCUGCCCCACCUCUGUCUGUCUGUCGGUCUGCCAGUCCUACCCCAUAUCACCUGUUGCUUUUCCUGGCAGAGCUGCCGGGAUUCGGCCCGUGUCCACAGCCGCUCCCCGUGGUCAGCCCCAGCCCCACGGCCGCUCGCUGCGAGCUGGACAAGAACACCCGCCGGUGCCACCGGCAGCAGCUGCCCGCCCACAAGUCCUGCCGCAUGUACCAGACCUGUGACCACGCCGUGCUCCUCUCAGGCGGCUGGCAGGACCAGAUCACCUACCCCCACCACGCCCGCAACCUGCGGCUCUUCGCCCAGAUGCUGCGACGGAACGGCUUCCGGCAGGAGCACAUCAAGGCCUUCUUCGCCGGCGAUGGCCAGGCGCCAGUGGCCGCGGAGGUGGGCGACGUGUAUCCAGCCACGGAGAAGCUGGUGAUCCGCAGCCACCUGGCGCUGGUGUGCCGCACGCGGCACUGCGCCGACUCGCUGGUGCUUUACCUGAACAGCCCCACCCGGAGCGACGGCACCAUGCUCCUGUGGGACACCAACAAGAACGGCAUCGUGAGUGGGGCGCUGUGCGGGCACCCCUCAGCGGGUUCCCGGCCCCCACUGCCAGGCUGUGCCCUCGCCCGGCUCCCUGGGGCAGUGGGGCUCUCUGCAGCCAGGGGAUGUGGGGUGACUCCGUGGCUCUGGGCGUCUCCCACGGCAGCUGGCUGCCCUCCGCGGCGGGGCUGAGAGAACCAGGUACCCCCCCAUUGAUCUCCAGGUGGAGGUGAGCUCGCUGCCCUCCCCCCUUGCCUCUGAUCUGCUGCACUUCAAAGGCCCCGGCUUGGCGCUUUCAUCUGCGCUGGGUGGGUGGGAAACCCCCCUUUCAAGUGCUGGGCUGCUGGAAUUCCCUUGAUCUCCUGCCUGGAGUCUCCGUGCAGCUGGUCUUUGGGAGGGGGGGCCCUCCCCUCUGUGCUGUGGGCAGGCAGGGGAAGGGCACUGACGGGCACACUCUGCCCCCCCGCAGGCCGACCCCAAGGAGCGCUACCCUGUGGCCGAGCUCCUGGCCGACUUGGAGGGCUGCAGCGCCCGCAGGGUCUUCCUCUUCCUCGACCAGAGCUACCCGGGCCCGCUGGCCAAGAAGCUGCUGGCAUCCGGGCGGCACGGGAACGUGGUGCUGGUGAGCGGCCAGCGGGGCUCUGA
rnacentral:lncRNA from 1 species